GCGACGAGCGCGGCCGGAACCGGGCCGGCGCGGGGCGGAUGCCGGCGGCGGGGAGCGGUGACCUCCUGUGUGGUGGUGGAGAGGAGCAUGGGCAGCUGAGUCGGCUCUCUGUGCCAGCACAGCCGCCGCACGCCGGUGCGGAGAACCGCUGGGGCAGAUCUCGGCGGCGGCACCGAGAAGCCCAUCUUUAUACAACGGGCAGUGCGUCGGCCUCUUCUCCUCCAAGAUGCUGCUGCCGCCGGUAUGGACGGCCGCCACGCGCCACUCCGGCUCCUCGGCCGCGUCCUCCGAUGGCGAAGAAGAGAGCAUGGCCUCGUGGGGGAUCACUGAGGAUUCCGGCAACGACCUGUCUCUGUACAACCGGCCGCGCGUCGGCCUCUUCUCCGCCAAAAGCCUGCCUCCACCUGUAUGAACAACCGCCUCGGAUCCUCGACCGCCGCUCCGUGGUGCGACCCGUGGCCGCCUUUGCCAGGAAGUGCUCCCGUCUUCAAGAUCCUCCCCGGGGACUACAACUGGUUAUACUCUAUUCAGGAGCCAUUGUACAUGCUUUGUGUUGGCUUUGGUGUUUCCAAAUGAAUGUUGUUGGAAGUCAUGUAAGAUUAAUGGUACUGAAUUGUCAUAUUAAUAAGUAUUGAUGAACUGGGCUAGGUAAUGAGAAGAAAACAAGUUGCUGAUCUGUUUUUGCAAAACUGUAGUUAUAUAGCUUUUGUUCAUAGAUUUCAGUGCUGUAAAUAAAUACAACCUUUCAGCUCAUAUGCCGAUUUGUAGGAUUGUACAGGUCAUUGUGUUCAUGUUGAUGAAACUGUGAACGGUUUUAUUCUUAUUUGCAGGCAACAAUCACAUGAUUGAAAACUUGAUUGGUUAAUUAGGACAUGGUUAAUUAUUUCUGCAUCUUUCUUUCUUGAAAGAUGUAAUUUUUGCGGUGUUCAAAGGUACAAUUUUCUAUUCAAUAUUUACUUAUUUCAUAGACUAUGUUAUUUGAAAUUUUCAUGGUUUUGUGAUUUGAUUGUGAACGAGAUUAAUCUAACAUAUGUAUCCUUUUAAGUUAUGCUCAUUCAAGUGAUUCCUUGGUAUUUUAUUUGUCGUAUCCCCGCUUCGGGUCGACGCCGCCGUCGCGGCUCCUCCACACCAUGGCCGACGUAUGCUCGGCGGCGGCCUCCGACGAAAGCCUAGCUGGGCGUGUACCUACUUCAUAGUGUUCAUAACUCAAGUGUGAUGGGCCGAGUAACCAAUCAGGUCAUACUUCAUGGCAGACCAUAAUAAUUAUAUCCAUUUCUCAUGCUUUGAACAUAUCGCAAAUCCAGUGGCAGUUCUAUGUUUCAACUGGACAAAAGAGUGGAUUUGCUCCUUUUAUCAUCACCAUAGCUGAGCAUUUAUUCAUCUCUCAAAUUUUUUCUGCUAAUACAAAAAAAUGAUAUUACUUUGCUUGAUUAGUAAUAUGGCUGACCACUGACAUAAUUUGUGUUCAUUUUCGAGGCUAAGAUUCUUGUCAGCAUGUGACUUGAAAUUGCUUUAUGCUGCUGGUACAUGUUUGGUGUCGGUUAAUUUACAAAGCAAGAAGGCGCAUGAAUAAGACAACAACGAGGCAAUAUGUCAUAGUGGCUGAUUUGGAGGAAGGAUUUUAUAUUUUCUAGCUUCCCUAGAUCAAUUUUCGUAUGGGCAGCAAACACAGGUGUCGAUUGAGCAUUCAACAUUAGCUUGCAGUUCACUGUCAUGGCAAUGAAGCUGCAAUUCACUAGCUUAGCCCUUCUCAUGAGGUAUUUCUUUUCCUUUGACCUGAAGUAGUAGUAAUAGUGGUUCCAUGAGGCUAGGAGGGUUUUCCAAUUAGCUAUCCCUGCCAUAUGAUGCUUUUAUGUAGGACAGAUGAUCAACUUAUGGCGCCCACUGAACUUUAGGAACUUUUAAUGAAGGAAAUUUGGUUUAGAUAGAGGUAGCAAUUUUUGUGAGUUGCAACAUUUUGGAGAAUUGAUUUGGUGUUUUCUUUUUGUCAGGAUAGUUGUUCACUCCAGUUAUCAGCUUGCAUUCAGAUGGCUGAGACAUGGUGCCGGAUGCCAAUUUCUUUUGUUUAUAUCAUUUGCCUCAGUUAUUUAUGUAUGUUCGUCCUUGACAAUCUCUACUGUCAGAUGCUCUUGGAGGAUUAUUAUGGGGUUACAAUCAUGAGCCUUUAAUUUAAUAGAUUGCAUAAUAUUUGUGUAGUCAAUCUCAUCUCGCUGCAUAUUGGUUUGUUGCUUGUAUUGUUUCUAUUUGGUUCUGCAGUAGUAUAGUCCAAUUUCUGAAAAUUCAUGGAUACACCAUUGUUUGGUGUGCUCUCGAUUGAGCGCUUCAACGAUGAGUUGCAAGAUCAUCUUCAUAAAUGCUCAAUGACAGCUGAUGGAAUGUAAUUAUUUGGGUUGACGAGAAGCUUUUGUUUCUCUCGAAGGUUUCAUCUCUUGCUUGGUCAGAACCGAUGGAAGUUUUUUGUGCUUUCAUUACUCAGCUGUUGGUUGGGCAAGGGUGCCUCUCAUUACACCAACAAACUUACCUUGUGAUUUUUUUAGGACAUUAGCCCAAUUAAUCCUGUAUGAUAUAUGGCAUACCCUAAUGCACAUACGAUUUAGCUUCUUAGCUUGAGUUUGUCUUUCCAAAUCCACUUCAGCAAGAUUUUUUUACGGUAAUCUGCAAUAUUGUAUAUGUCAUAACUUAUCCACUAAAUUAAGAAUUCAGUAAUACCCUGAUGCAUAUACGAUUUAGCUUUCUUA